CUCUUUUUGUAUGUUGCUCAGGACUUUUCUGUCUCAUGUCCUCAGAGUGGGCAGGUUAGAGUUGGACUUGGAGAUCAUUAGCGCCCAACUGGACCAGGUUUUCUGUUCUGGGGGAAAGUGUCUCCACAGGAAUGGACCAUCGGCCCAUAAAGACAGCUUGACUCCUGAGAAUUGGGACGGUACUGUUCCUCUACAGUGUCAGAGGGAGGACCAUAAUAUCACGACCUAGCUUAUUUCUCAAGCAGUGGACAAAGGUCAACAUUUGAAAGAGCUAGACAACCUUGAGCAUCUGCUGGAGGAGUCUAGGGCCUAGCAGGGGCUGGUGGAGCAGGGAAGGGAUGCCUCAGAGGCCCGUAUGGCAGCCCUCCACUCCCAGCUGUACUAGGAAUGCUUCAGCGUCCAGGAGACCCACAGAGAGAGACUGGCCACACAGGCAGAGCAACUUGGCAGCAAGCAGGUGUAGCCAUGGAAGACCAGACCAACUAAACUGGUACAGGGAUUCACACCCAAAAUGGAUGCAGACAGAGGCUGGGGUCUGCAGAGGAGCGACCUCCCUGAUGGAGAGUGACAGAUGCCUGCUCAGGGUUCUCCUAGCGGCACCGGGGACUGAGCGGGAGGAGCUGCUUCAACAAGGACACCCCUCAGCCCUUGGGUAAGGAACCCACAGCCUCUAAUAUUGGUGCACUUGGAGAGCUGAAAGAAUCAGAUGGAUAAAAUCAAUAUGGUUCUACUUUGCUCUCUGAUAGGCUGGGUGGAAUGUUCUCUGUAUUGCUGCCUUACGCCUAUUCAAACCUUAUGGUCUUCAUACGUGCAAAGAGAGUAGGGGUGGAUUUGGGAUGGAAUCAGUAUCUUUACCUUUUAUCUUGAGGUAAUGGAGAAUUUUCUUUUCUCAUUGUUUUCACUCUUGGCAUCGUCAGUGCUGAUAGCUCCAGAACACGGAGAAACAGUCAGACUUCUAACGGAUGACCCAGAAGCCAGGGUUUAUCUGUCCAAUUUGAAAUUGUCAGACUUAUAAAGGAUGAGCCAGAAGCAUGGGUUUGUCAGUCCACAUCUUUUUGUCUCUUAGGAGCGCUUAUGAAACGGAUGUGGAAAUCUCUGGAAAGGAGGAGAGGGUGAGGGAGGACAGUGCCGUGUAUGAAAUGGAGGAACAAGAUGAGGAGGAGAGAGUGGAAGGGAAUAAUGUGUCUGUUAUUCAUCGGCAGUAAAAAUUCAGUGAGGACUUAAGAUCCAUGAGGUGACACACUCUUAAGUCUGGCCCACAGAAACAAAUAAAGGAAGAGAACCAGGAAACUGUCUCUUUGGGAGUCCUUUCCUACAGCACCAUGUCACGUUGAAGCGGUCUAACAUGUGGCAGAGUGAUGUUUCCUUUCAAACAUACCUCUCCUCCAAACCUCACUUCAGCAGUAACCAAACUUUCAUUUCACAUAGAAAAGUGUUAUAUAAUAUAACAAGCAUUUCUUUCUUUUUUACCUGGGAUAUUAUUAAGCCAUGGUAUUUAUUAUACUUCCUGUACUUUAAGUUAAAAUAUCACUUUAGUAAAGUUCAUGCAACCUGAGCACCAUUUUUAAGCUAAGAUGCUACUUUUUGCAGUUUACUGUGCUACAUGCUUCACCAUCCAGUAUCAUGCCAACACAUGCUGAAUAGACAAGCUAUAGACAUACCUAUGAGUUAUGUAUAUUGUGGAUUUCUGAGGAUUCACUGGCUUAGAAUACUACUGAUCAAAGAUAAUGCUGGACAGUCUCUGCCUCUGGUCUGUGAGGGGAAAGAGGGGAAUCUGGAGAGCCCAUUCUCUAACAGCUGUGCUCAAAUCUGGCUAUGUAUACAUUGUAACAACCUUAUGUAACAGCAAGCUUGUUACAACCACAAAGCCCAUGACCAAUGUCCAUUUCUUCAUGUAACACCCCAUUACACUGGUUGACACAGUGCCAUUGUCUUAGUCUGAGGACUCUGACAUGUUCUUGUUUAUUGUUGAGGCUGGUGAGGAGUUUUGAUUUCUGGCUUAAGCUAAUACUAAUCCCUCUCCGAGACUAUUUUCUUUGGCCCUGAGCUUGUGGUCCACGGUGCACUGCCUUUUACUGCCCUGGUCCCUGAGGACACAUAAACAUGGAUUCAUGGGAUAUGCAGACUGGGAAGACAUGGUUGGAAUACUGCAGGGCUAGACACUUUCUCUCACCGAUAUGACGUCAUUAAGAAAGGAACAGAGAACAGGGUUAUGACAACGUCAUUAUGAAAGGACCAAUCAGAGAGCUGGGUGAUGAUGUCAUUAUAUGAAGGACUAAUCAGAGAGAAGGGUUAAGACAGAACUACGUUUAGGAUGUAAAGAAAGCACUCCAAGAUAGCAGUAUUUUUCAAAGAAAAAGAUGUAAAGACGGUUAUUUUGUGUAUUCACUUUAUUAUCAUAAUAAUAUAUGCCAUUUAGCAGUUGCUUUUAUCCAAAAUGACUUAGUCAUGCGUGCAUACAUUUUAAGUCUGGGUGGUCCUGGGAAUCAAACCGACUAUCCUGAUGUUGCAUGCACCAUGCUCUACCAACUGAGCUACUUCAUAUUUUCCUCUGUUCUUUUCACUUCCAAGUACACUGCUUACUCAGGAAUAGGUGUUACAUAAUGUUAUUACAUUCAUACUGACCAAUCCUGGCACUUAUUCUUGGAGCAUACUGGACUAAUUUCCCCCUACAGUUUAGCUGUGCUUGCACUCAUUUUAUUUGUUGCAACUGAGAGGUAUGUGCCCAAAACCAUGUACUUAUGGCUGUCUGGCUGAUGCAACGUUGCAUGACUCCACACUGGCACAGACCGCACAGACAAUCCUUCUUGAUUGAGGAAGCUGGAAACUUCCUACUCACUUACUCACACUCUCUCUUUAUUCUUCCAUCUUUUUCUCUGUUACAUUCUCUCGCUCUUUCUCUCGCUCUCUCAAUUUUCCAUUGACGUCAUCACAGUCCAAGAUUUCUCUGUGUUCUCAGUGUAUGCUUGUCCCUGUUGCUUUUUAACGGACCCAUGUCUGUUAAUUUCAACGGAGAUACAAACGGCAGACUUUGGCAAGUCAUCACAACGUCAAACUAGGUAUGUUUCAUGUUAACAUGGCUCCACAAUCGACUCCUGAUAAGUACACUUCAGAUACUGUAAGUGCAAUCUGUUUUAGUGCAAUAAAGUUGCAUUUACCAGACGUUGACCGUAAUCCAAAAUAACUACUAUUCAUACAAUGUUAAUGCAACCCAAUCAUUCCAUGUACAGAACCUGCAGGAGCCCUAGCGCAAAUCUUCAUUUUGAUAACCCAAGAGUUACACCAGCAGGUAAGAAUGAUAACAAAUAGUCAUGUGUCGAUUGAAUAGAUACACCUCCCUGUUUCACAUAAAAUGUCUUCCAUGCGUUCCAUUCCAUCUACUACAUAAUGAUGUACUUCGGUUUCGCCGGCGGAGAACGUCGUGGAGGUGAGGCGCACUCUUAGAAAAAAAGAUGCUAUCUACAACCUAAAAAGGUUCUUUGGAUAUCCCCAUACGAGACCCCUUUGAAGAACCCGUUUGAGUUCCAUGUAGAACCCUUGCCACAGAGGGUUCUACAUGGCACCCAAAAGAGUUCUACCUGGAACCAAAAAAGGGUUCCUCUAUGGGGACAGCCAAAGAACCCUUUUGGAACUAUUUAUUUUCUUAGAGUGUAGCCACAGAUGGCAGACUUGGUGCCCUUGGGACCAGUAUUUGUCAUGAAGCUUAAAUUAUUACCUUCCUUCCUCGUCUGACAGAGAGAAGGGACUGGUAUUGGUCAAUCGCUGGAAUUCAUGGCAGCAUGAGCCAAUGGUAGCCGGUCCAGUCAGUUCAUGGCAUCAUCAUAAUCCAAUUCUUAGUAUCACCUCACACCAAGUUGCCCAUAUCUAUAUCUAGACCUCUAUACCAGGCGGUGUCAGACUCCACC